GACGAACGCUUGCGGCGUGCUUAACACAUGCAAGUCGAACGGAAAGGCCCUGCUUUUGUGGGGUGCUCGAGUGGCGAACGGGUGAGUAACACGUGAGUAACCUGCCCUUGACUUUGGGAUAACUUCAGGAAACUGGGGCUAAUACCGGAUAGGAGCUCCUGCUGCAUGGUGGGGGUUGGAAAGUUUCGGCGGUUGGGGAUGGACUCGCGGCUUAUCAGCUUGUUGGUGGGGUAGUGGCUUACCAAGGCUUUGACGGGUAGCCGGCCUGAGAGGGUGACCGGCCACAUUGGGACUGAGAUACGGCCCAGACUCCUACGGGAGGCAGCAGUGGGGAAUAUUGCACAAUGGGCGGAAGCCUGAUGCAGCAACGCCGCGUGCGGGAUGACGGCCUUCGGGUUGUAAACCGCUUUCGCCUGUGACGAAGCGUGAGUGACGGUAAUGGGUAAAGAAGCACCGGCUAACUACGUGCCAGCAGCCGCGGUGAUACGUAGGGUGCGAGCGUUGUCCGGAUUUAUUGGGCGUAAAGGGCUCGUAGGUGGUUGAUCGCGUCGGAAGUGUAAUCUUGGGGCUUAACCCCGAGCGUGCUUUCGAUACGGGUUGACUUGAGGAAGGUAGGGGAGAAUGGAAUUCCUGGUGGAGCGGUGGAAUGCGCAGAUAUCAGGAGGAACACCAGUGGCGAAGGCGGUUCUCUGGGCCUUUCCUGACGCUGAGGAGCGAAAGCGUGGGGAGCGAACAGGCUUAGAUACCCUGGUAGUCCACGCUGUAAACGGUGGGUACUAGGUGUGGGGUCCAUUCCACGGGUUCCGUGCCGUAGCUAACGCUUUAAGUACCCCGCCUGGGGAGUACGGCCGCAAGGCUAAAACUCAAAGGAAUUGACGGGGCNCCGCACAAGCGGCGGAGCAUGCGGAUUAAUUCGAUGCAACGCGUAGAACCUUACCUGGGUUUGACAUGGAUCGGGAGUGCUCAGAGAUGGGUGUGCCUCUUUUGGGGUCGGUUCACAGGUGGUGCAUGGCUGUCGUCAGCUCGUGUCGUGAGAUGUUGGGUUAAGUCCCGCAACGAGCGCAACCCUUGUUCACUGUUGCCAGCACGUUAUGGUGGGGACUCAGUGGAGACCGCCGGGGUCAACUCGGAGGAAGGUGGGGAUGACGUCAAGUCAUCAUGCCCCUUAUGUCCAGGGCUUCACGCAUGCUACAAUGGCCGGUACAGAGAGUGGCGAGCCUGUGAGGGUGAGCGAAUCUCGGAAAGCCGGUCUCAGUUCGGAUUGGGGUCUGCAACUCGACCUCAUGAAGUCGGAGUCGCUAGUAAUCGCAGAUCAGCAACGCUGCGGUGAAUACGUUCCCGGGGCUUGUACACACCGCCCGUCAAGUCAUGAAAGUUGGUAACACCCGAAGCCGGUGGCCUAACCGUUGUGGGGGAGCCGUCGAAGGUGGGACUGGUGAUUAGGACUAAGUCAU
rnacentral:rRNA from 1 species